rnacentral:lncRNA from 1 species
CUUCACAAAUUUUAUUUAUGUAUUUUUCCUCCCAAGCUCGUAUCAACAACAAUAAUAGCAAUAGCAGCAGUAAUAUAUAGUAGUGGUAGUGUCUUCCAAAGUUAUCUCACAAAACAUCCAAGAGCAAACUAUAAUAAUAUAAGCAUGGAAGUGCAGGUCGGUAGGCCCUUCCCAUGGGAACCACAAAAGAGAGUCCAGC